rnacentral:lncRNA from 1 species
UUUAAAUUAUUUUUUUUUCUCCCGUGUUUCAACCCAAAUAAACACAAAUAUUCAUUUUUUUCUCUUUGCAGCCAAACUCGCGGCGGAAAUCCGUAGACUCACUGCGCUGCUUGGGGAUCGAGACUCGCGGCUCCGUAAGUGGCGUUUCCCUCCUGACGCGUAAAAUUGGGCUGGAAGGUGGAGAAUUUGACAUUUUACAACCCCUCAUAUCACUCCGAAGUGGAUUUAUUGCCCAAAUCAGUGGGUUUUCUCCCUAGAAUAGAGCAGAAUAUUUUGCCAUUAUUAAAAAAAGAAAUUGCAUUUUGCCAUUAUAUUAAAAAAAAAAUCCUUUUUCCCGUUACAUACAAAUAUUUUCCCCUUUUUUAGGAAAACUGACUGCAGAACUCACAAAAUGCGACGCCACAAUCAGUAAGUGCCGUUUCCUCCUCGUCCACCAGGUUUUAACGAGGUUUCAGCAUCAAAAUUCUAAUUUAUAUUCUCAAAUUAAUUUUCUUUUCUGGUUUAAGGAAUAUUUACGGUGGAGCUUGGUGAGUUCAUUUCCUUCCUUUGGCAUUUUUU